rnacentral:rRNA from 1 species
GGAAACUGGGGCUAAUACCGGAUAGGAGCUCCUGCUGCAUGUGGGGGUUGGAAAGUUUCGGCGGUUGGGGAUGGACUCGCGGCUUAUCAGCUUGUUGGUGGGGUAGUGGCUUACCAAGGCUUUGACGGGUAGCCGGCCUGAGAGGGUGACCGGCCACAUUGGGACUGAGAUACGGCCCAG